GGUCCAGUGGAGCAAUGGUAGCUCGUCACUCUCUGGGGGCGAGAAACCUUUGGACUCCCAGCCGCCUCUGACCGGGAGGGUGUCCAAUGGUUUCGAAGUGCUGCGUCCGCAAAAUGUAUGCUUUUAUAGCGUUAAUGGUUCAUCCCCGAACCAAAUUAUUCAUAGGUGUAGGUUGCAGGUUCGAAUCCUGUCUGGAUCG